AUGUCAUCUUUUCACCAACGUAUUUGCUUUAAAUUUCUCACGCCAAGUUACAUUUACUGCAGGAUCUUUCCAUAAAAAAUAAAUAGAGGAUGUCAAACUUGGCACAGUUUGACUCUGAUUUUUACCAAUCUAAUUUUACUAUUGAUAACCAGGAGCAGAGUGGUGAUGAUUCUAAUGCCUAUGGAAAUCUUUAUGUAUCUAGAAAAACUUGGAAUCCAUUUUGAUCACAUAUGGCAAAAAACUUUGACAGUGUUAAACCCAAUGAAGCCAGCAGAUGGCAGCAUUAUGAAUGAAACGGACCUCACUGGACCCAUUCUUUUUUGCGUAGCCCUGGGAGCCACCUUGCUUCUGGUAAUGUGUCACAGGAAGCACCAGAUUUUAAUGCUUGUCCUUUCCAGUGCUGGUUUUGAAGCAAUCUGUAUAAAUAUGAGAGAAACUGUGUCACCUUACAUAGUGAAUUUUUUAAGUGAGAGAGAAUAAUUUAACCAUAGUGACAAAAAUAUGCUACCAUUAUGCAUUGCAACAGCUAAAAAGUAUAAAUUUAAAUAGAAUUUCAAAAAUCAAGAAGCAGAUCAAAGCAGGA
rnacentral:sRNA from 1 species